rnacentral:misc_RNA from 1 species
GAUGAAGAACGUAGCGAAAUGCGAUACGUAAUGUGAAUUGCAGAAUUCAGUGAAUCAUCGAAUCUUUGAACGCACAUUGCGCCCGCCAGUAUUCUGGCGAGCAUGCCUGUUCGAGCGUCAUUUCAACCAUCAAGCCCCAGGCUUGUGUUGGAGCCCUGCGGCUGCCGCAGCCUCCCAAAACCAGUGGCGGGCUCGCUAUCACACCGAGUGCAGUAGUUUACUCUUCGCUCAGGGCGUGUGGCGGGUGCUAGCCGUGAAACCCCCAACUUCUCCAGGUUGACCUCGGAUCAGGUAGGAAUACCCGCUGAACUUAAGCAUAUCAAUAAGCGGAGGA